rnacentral:lncRNA from 1 species
UGAAAUUAUAUAAAUUAUAUUCACAUGUGUGUGGGCUUGCACAUCUGUACAUGACUUUAAAAAUAAGUCUUUCUUAGGACAGAUUUUUCAUCUUGAAAAUGUGAGUCUUAAUGUUAAAAUUAUAACUAAAACUGUCUGCAAGCCCAGAUUCAUUAAUAUUAGAAAUGACUGGUAGAAUCUAAUGUCAGGAACUAAUGGCUCCAUAAUAUAAGAAUAUAUUCUAAUUAAUAGUAAAGUCCACAGCCUUUAUGCAUUCAGCUCUUUAAUGGGUGCCACCCAGGAACAAUAGGGGGAAUGAGCGAAAACCUCUUUCAACAAUAUAGGACUUCUCCAAUCUAAACCUGCUUUCUUUAACAGGGCUAAGCUAUCUUUAUGUGUACUGUAAAGAGAAUCCCAGGCUGGUUGUCUUCAUCACCCAAGGACCUACGCAUUUUUCCAAUGACUAUCUUCAGAUAA